UGUCUACUUGGCGAAAUUUGGCAUACGCCGGGAAAUUUAAAAUUUCUUACCGAGAGGUACUGGUUCAAGUCCAGUAGUAGACAC
rnacentral:tRNA from 1 species